rnacentral:rRNA from 1 species
UACGGAGGGGGCUAGCGUUGUUCGGAAUUACUGGGCGUAAAGCGCACGUAGGCGGCUUUGCAAGUCAGAGGUGAAAGCCCGGGGCUCAACCCCGGAAUUGCCUUUUGAGACUGCAUCGCUAGAAUUGUGGAGAGGUGAGUGGAAUUCCGAGUGUAGAGGUGAAAUUCGUAGAUAUUCGGAAGAACACCAGUGGCGAAGGCGACUCACUGGACACAUAUUGACGCUGAGGUGCGAAAAGCGUGGGGAGCAAACAGG